rnacentral:rRNA from 1 species
AAUGGGCGCAAGCCUGAUCCAGCAAUGCCGCGUGGGUGAAGACGGCCUGCGGGUUGUAAAGCCCUUUAGGCGGGGAGGAACGGCGUCGUGCGAACAGUGCGGCGUUCUGACGUUACCCGCGGAAUAAGCACCGGCUAACUCCGUGCCAGCAGCCGCGGUAAUACGGAGGGUGCGAGCGUUAAUCGGAAUUACUGGGCGUAAAGCGUGCGCAGGCGGUUUGGUAAGACAGGCGUGAAAUCCCCGGGCUUAACCUGGGAACUGCGCUUGUGACUGCCAGGCUAGAGUACGGCAGAGGAGGGUGGAAUUCCACGUGUAGCAGUGAAAUGCGUAGAGAUGUGGAGGAACACCGAUGGCGAAGGCAGCCCCCUGGGCCGCGACUGACGCUCAUGCACGAAAGCGUGGGGAGCAAA